UACAGAGAGUGCAAGCGUUAAUCGGAAUUACUGGGCGUAAAGGGCGCGUAGGUGGGUAACGACGUCAGAUGUGAAAUAGAUGGGCUCAACCUGUCGAAGUCGUCUGAAACCCGUUAUCUAGAGUUUGGUAGAGGUCAGUGGAAUUUCCGGUGUAGCGGUGAAAUGCGUAGAUAUCGGAAGGAACACCCGUGGCGAAGGCGGCUGACUGGACUGAGACUGACACUGAGGCGCGAAAGCGUGGGUAGCGAACAGG
rnacentral:rRNA from 1 species